rnacentral:sRNA from 1 species
AAAAUUUUUGGUUUUAGCCUCUUUUGGGAGAAUAUGGGUAUAAUUGUUGUCUAAACACCCCUAAUCAAUCUCUAACUCUGUAAUUAGUCCAAUGCAUUGGAUUGUGAAACAUUUUGACUAUAGAAACACUAACAAAUCUAUUGACUCCUUUUAAGCAAAUUUUUUUGGUUUUACCCUCUUUUAGUCGAAAAUGGGUAUAAGUGUUAUCUAAACACUCCUAAUCCAUCUCUAACUCUUAUAAUUAGUCGAAUGCAUUGGAUUGUGAUACAUUUUGAACAUAUAAACACUAACAAAGCUAUUUAGUGCUUCUAAGCACUAUUUUGUUGGUUAUAGCUUCUUUAGGGAGAAAAUGGGUAUAAUUGUUGUCUAAACACUCCUAAUCCAUCUCUAACUCUAUAAUUAGUCCAAUGCAUUGGAUUGUGAAAGAUUUUGACUAUAGAAACACUAACAAAUCUAUUGAGUGCUUUUAAGCAAAUUUUUUUGGUUUUAGCCUCUUUUGGGAGAAUUUGGGUAUAAGUGUUGUCUAAACACUCCUAAUCCAUCUCUAACUCUUAUAAUUAGUCAAAUGCAUUGGAUUGUGAUACAUUUUGACCAUAUAAACACUAAGAAAGCUAUUUAGUGCUUCUAAGCAAUAUUUUGUUGGUUAUAGCUUCUUUUGGGAGAAAAUGGGUAUAAGUGUUCUCUAAACACUCCUAAUCCAUCUCUUACUCUUAGAAUUAGUCAAAUGCAUUGGAUUGUGACACAUUUUGACCAUAGAAACACUAACAAAUCUAUUGAUCGCUUCUAAGCAAGUUUUCUUGGUUUUAGCCUCUUUUGGGAGGAAAUGGUUAUAAGUGUUUUCUAAACACUUCUUGUCCAUCCCUAACUCUUAUAAUUAUUCAAUUGCAUUGGAUUGUGACACAUUUUGACUAUAGAAACACUAACAAAUCUAUUGACUGCUUCUGAGCAAGUUUUGUUGGUUUUAGCCUCUUUUGGGAGUAAAUGGGUAUAAGUGUUGUCUAAACACUUCUUAUCCAUAUCUAACUCUUAUAUUUAGUCAAUUGGAUUGGAUUGUGACACAUUAUAACCAUAGA